rnacentral:rRNA from 1 species
CUGAAUAUACCGGUUCUCGUUAGAUCACCGAAGUCAAGCAUCAUUGGGCACGGUCAGUACUUGGGUGGGUGACCACCUGGGAAAACACCGCGUGCCG